UACGGAGGAUGCGAGCGUUAUCCGGAUUUAUUGGGUUUAAGGGGUGCGCAGGCGGCGUGUCAAGUCAGCGGCAAAAUGUCGGGGCUCAACCCCGGCCGGCCGUUGAAACUGGCGUGCUCGAGUUGGAGAGGAGUAUGCGGAAUUCGUGGUGUAGCGGUGGAAUGCAUAGAUAUCACGAAGAACCCCGAUUGCGAAGGCAGCAUACCGGCUCCACACUGACGCUGAGGCACGAAAGCGUGGGUAUCGAACAGG
rnacentral:rRNA from 1 species